CGGGAGAAAGGUUUGAGGGAAGAGGAGGAGACUGGAACGGAAGGAGACUGGAGACCGGAGAUGAGAGAGAAGCCGCUGAGAGAACAUGGAGGCUGACCUUAAGAUUCCACUCUGUGUAUUUACAGAGACUGUCUAAGUAGCUUUGGCUGUUCCGGAACUCUCUGGACCAGCCUGGCCUUGAACUCACGGAGGGCUGUCUGCUCCUCUGCCUCUCAAGCGCUGGGAUUAAGGUGAAGACAUCGUGAAACCAUGACUGCUGGGGUGUGGUGUUUCUGAGAACCUGAAUCCGUAUGUUUAUAUGGAAAAAUGGAAAAGCCUUGUACUGUGCAAUGUUAAGGAAAAGUCUAAGAAACAGGGAGAACCCGAUAACAGUUCUGUGCUUUCCAUGGCCAGUGAGCAGAUGUGCAAGAGACCGUCGGAGGAAGGGCAGUGACAGUUUGAUUAUCCAGAAUGUUCUGUGAGGGCACUGCCGAGGCAAGAAGGCAAACCAGGCAGAGUGGCUGAGAGAGAGGCUCACUUGGGUGCAAACGAAGAUACAGUGUUUUGAAGUCCUGCUGUCCUGGAAGUCACUGUGGGAAUCCACCCCAGCGUCUCAUUCAUCUUUUGGAGAAAUUCAAACCAGGUCAGCAUUCUGAACAUGUGGUACAGUGGGGUUUGCUCUGCGCCAACCCAGCCACCAUUUCUGUGCAAGCUGCACCCUCUCCACCUUUGUUGCAGAGCAUGAGCCUUGCCCCUGCUGUCCACAGGGUGGACAGCCUUAUUUUCUAAAAUGGAGGUCAAGAAUCAGCCCCGAAGGGUGUAUCUGGACAGGGAGGGGUGAAGACAGAAUGUCCUCUAACCAGGUUGGGUAUGUGUUGAGGAAGCCCAGGUUACCGAUAGACCAUCACAGAGGGACAAUAUAGCCACCACACACCACAGCCUUCUGUCACUGGUCCGGGUCACUCAAAGAAUACAAUUGUUACUUGUUCGUCUCUGUUUUUCCCCCACAAGGACCUGCAGCGUACAACACGAUCACCCAGGGGUACAUUAGGAGUUCUCAAUUCAGUGACAAGUUGACUCAUGGAGGGGGAGGGAGAUAACCUCUGAGAAUCAGGAAAUAACUCCUGAGCCACCUUGGCCCC